CACUGCAAAUGACUCUUUUUACAUGAAGAGUUUAGAGAGACAUUCCUCUCAACUGAGGGUCAUCCAGCUGCUCUCCUAGGAAGCUCCACAUCCCACCUCAGACUACUGUUGACCCAAGAACUCAUAUUCACUAGGUACUCCAAGAGACCAGAGACAUGGCUAUUAGUAGUUCAAAUACUGAAUGGAGUUCUGGAAGGGCACAGGCUAGGAAGAGGACAUAUCACCCUGUAAGCAGGAACAUCAGCUCUAACUUUCAAUCUGCUAGUAGAAGUCACAGGAAGAAAAAGGGACACUUUGAAAAGUGAUUAUGGCAGCCAGUGCUGUGGAGCCCUAUGAGCAGGUCCAAAAGGGCCCCCUGAAGCUGAAAGGUAUGGCAGAGCUUGGCGUGACAAAGCGAAAGAAAAAGAAGGACAAAGACAAGGCCAAGAUGCUGGAGGCUAUGGGGACGAGCAAAAAGAGUUCGGAGGAGAAGAGGCGCUGCCUGGACAAGCGCACGCCAGCGCAGGCAGCCUUCGAAAAGAUGCAGGAGAAGUGGCAAAUGGAAAGAAUCCUGAAGAAGGCGUCAAAAACCCACAAGCAGAGAGUGGAGGACUUCAACCGACACCUGGACACACUCACCGAGCACUAUGACAUUCCCAAAAUCAGCUGGACCAAGUAACUGGCCCCUGGUGCCAAAGGCAGCAGGCCAGGCAGACUGUGUUGCUUUCCUCCGUGGUUUCUAGAAUGUUUUCCACCUGGCUGGGGAUUCUACUGAGACCAGGCUUCCCGAGGCUUGAUUAAAGGCAGGCUGUCCUUUCCCUGAA